rfam:Candidatus Woykebacteria bacterium RBG_16_39_9b RBG_16_scaffold_40867, whole genome shotgun sequence.
GCGGGAGUAGCUCAGUGGUAGAGCGUUUCCUUGCCAAGGAAAAGGCCGCGGGUUCAAAUCCCGUCUCCCGCU